rnacentral:snRNA from 1 species
UUCAUUUCAGAAGCAAAUAUACUAAAAUUAGAAUGAUGCAGAGAUUAGAAUGGCCCCUGAGCAAGGAUGACACACAAAUUUGUGAAUCCUUCCAUAUUUUU